GCCCAGACUCCUACGGGAGGCAGCAGUGGGGAAUAUUGGUCAAUGGGCGAGAGCCUGAGCCAGCCAAGUCGCGUGAGGGAGUACUGCCCUAUGGGUUGUAAACCUCUUUUGUCGGGGAGCAAAAGCCGGACGUGUCCGGCUGUGAGAGUACCCGAAGAAAAAGCAUCGGCUAACUCCGUGCCAGCAGCCGCGGUAAUACGGAGGAUGCGAGCGUUAUCCGGAUUUAUUGGGUUUAAAGGGUGCGCAGGCGGAUUUUUAAGUCAGCGGUCAAAUCGUGGGGCUCAACCCCCUCCAGCCGUCGGAACUGCCGGGCUAGAGUGGGCGAGAAGUGCGCGGAAUGCGUGGUGUAGCGGUGAAAUGCGUAGAUAUCACGCAGAACUCCGAUUGCGCAGGCAGCGCACCGGCGCCCUACUGACGCUCAGGCACGAAAGCGUGGGUAUCGAACAGGAUUAGAUACCCCAGUAGCA
rnacentral:rRNA from 1 species